UGAGGAAUAUUGGUCAAUGGACGGAAGUCUGAACCAGCCAUGCCGCGUGAAGGAUGAAGGCGUUCUGCGUUGUAAACUUCUUUUAUCUGGGAAGAAACCACAGAUUUCUAUUUGUGUUGACGGUACCAGAAGAAUAAGCACCGGCUAACUCCGUGCCAGCAGCCGCGGUAAUACGGAGGGUGCGAGCGUUAUCCGGAUUUACUGGGUUUAAAGGGUGCGUAGGCGGGCUAUUAAGUCAGAGGUGAAAUCUCCGGGCUCAACCUGGAAACUGCCUCUGAUACUAUUAGCCUUGAAUUAUGUUGAGGUUGGCGGAAUAUAACAUGUAGCGGUGAAAUGCUUAGAUAUGUUAUGGAACACCAAUUGCGAAGGCAGCUGGCUAAACAUAUAUUGACGCUGAUGCACGAAAGCGUGGGUAGCGAACA
rnacentral:rRNA from 1 species